GAGCCUAAUGCGGGGCUCGAUCCCAGCAUCCUUGGUUCAUGAGCCGAAGACAGACGCUUAACGCCUGAGCCACCCCGGGGGCCCCUCAUUUCUCCUCUGUUACAGUUGUUUGGGAUCCUGACGGGUCUGGCACAAAUGGCAGGAUUUCCUGAGCUUUUAGUGUCAUAGCCCCCCAAUUAGAGGCAUCAAAGUUGGCUGGUUCAGAUGCCUGCAUCAUCAAGAAUGGAAGUUUAACCUAUUUAUGGCUAAAAUUUCCUUGACUUUGAAAAAGACUUACUUUACCACUCAGCAAUCUUCUAGUCCUCAAGCAGCAUUGCUCCCUCAAUUGUACUUCAAAAUACUGUGGUCAGAAGAGACAAAAAUCAAUUUGACUAAAUGGAAGGACAAUUUUUGUAUCGUUUGGAACUAGAUGGAGAAUGUACCUAAAAUUUUGAGAAAAAUAUAAUGAUCCAAGGGCAAGAUCAAUUUUAUAUUAAGACUAUAGAAGAACAUUUAAAAACUCAGCAUUUAAAUGUCUGUUCUCCUUGGUAGAAGAUACUCUGCUUCUUACUUUCUAUAUCCUCCUUAGGGCUGGUCCUAACCUCACCUGGUAUGAACCUUUGCUGUUGUGGAUCUGAAGUUUAGAAAGCUCUAACAAUUUAAAUGCUAAAGAAUUUGGGAUUUGCUUAUAAGAUAAUUUUUCAUAGAUAUACUUAUUCAUAUCCACAUACUUACCCCUAUAUUUAUAAUAUGUUGAAAUAUUCCAUUUAAAAGGGAAACUUAAGUAAAAAGAACUAGUAUGUUCUGUACUAUUCUAUUGAGUUAGUAGACUUAUAGUUCAUCUCCCUGGGAAAUGGAACAUAUAAUAGUGAGUAUAGUGCAUGAACUGGGUAAUUAUAUAUUUAGUUGAAUUAAUGAAGUUAUGAAUAAACUUUAUUCAUUUUCCACUAAAAACUACUGCUUACUUUAUUAUGUUUACUUCUCCAUUAGAAAAAUUAGAGCAUUCACAGGCUUUUUCAUAACAGAACUUAAGAUUUCCAGUUGAAUGUUUUGGAGAAUAGACUAUAAUAAUUAAAACACAUAUUACUUCUACAAUGCUUAAUAUUUUAAUAUGUUUAAAGUAUUUUAUUACUACAAGCUAACAAGCAAUGUCUUUUGAGUCCACAAUUAUAUAGAAGGUAAAAAUUUUUUUUCUUUUGUAGCUUUUUAGAAAAAUGAAAUUUGAAAUGGAGUACAUUAUGAGGGCUUACAGCUUACUGUAGGUUUUUAACUAUGUGCCCAGAUAUGGCCUAUCAUAUCUUAUUACUGUACCUAAUAAUAAUGGCUAAGUUUAUCCUUUUAAAAAUUUCUUUGUACCACAAAUUUGUGCUCCUUUUAAAAAUUUGAGUGUUUAUAUUUUAGUCAUGGCACAGUUUGUGGAAAAUCUUUGACAGGAACUGUGAAAGCUUGGUGAAAGUCACAGUUUAAGAUUAACAUAAGCACCUACAAAAAAUACAGACAAUUCAUAGUGGUUCCUAUAUUUGUUCUUAUAAAAUAAAAAUGAU